rnacentral:rRNA from 1 species
AGUGAACGCUGGCGGCGUGCUUAACACAUGCAAGUCGAACGGACCCGGGGGGCAACUCCCGGGUUAGUGGCGAACGGGUGAGUAACACGUGGGUAAUCUCCCCCCGAGUGAGGGAUAAGCUUGCGAAAGCGGGUCUAAUACCGCAUGAAACUCCGGGACCUCAGUCUUCGGAGUCAAAGCCGUAAGGCGCUUGGGGAUGAGCCUGCGUCCUAUUAGCUAGUUGGUAGGGUAAUGGCCUACCUAGGCGAUGAUGGGUAGCCGGCCUGAGAGGGUGAUCGGCCACACUGGAACUGAGACACGGUCCAGACUCCUACGGGAGGCAGCAGUGAGGAAUUUUGCGCAAUGGGCGAAAGCCUGACGCAGCGACGCCGCGUGGAGGAAGACGGCCUUCGGGUUGUAAACUCCUGUCAGAGGUGAAGAAUGCCCGCAAGGGCUUGACGGUAACCUCAGAGGAAGCCCCGGCUAACUACGUGCCAGCCGCCGCCGUAACAC